rnacentral:tRNA from 1 species
GUCUUAAUAGUAUAAAUAUUACUCUGGUCUUGUAAACCAGAAAUGAAGACCUAAUCUUCUUAAGACA